AUACGGAGGGUGCGAGCGUUAAUCGGAAUUACUGGGCGUAAAGCGUACGUAGGCGGUUGGUUAAGUUAGAUGUGAGAGCCCCGGGCUUAACCUGGGAACUGCAUUUAAAACUGGCGAACUAGAGUUGAGUAGAGGGGAGUGGAAUUUCAGGUGUAGCGGUGAAAUGCGUAGAGAUCUGAAGGAACACCAGUGGCGAAGGCGACUCCCUGGACUCGAACUGACGCUGAGGUACGAAAGCGUGGGUAGCAAACGGGAUUAGAAACCCUAGUAGUCC
rnacentral:rRNA from 1 species